rnacentral:misc_RNA from 1 species
AGGAAAUGAACAUGGAUGAGCAUCCCAAUACUGGCAAGAAAAAGAGCAGCAAAGAAGUUGCGUAUGGGUUCAACUUGUUCAAGAGUAUGUUGGGCAAGAUCAGUUGUUGAAAUCAUCACUCCAGCAGCAAAUGAACCCAACUCUAAGCUUAGACCAAGCUUAUCGCUACACCAAGCUACAAGGAGGCAAAAUGCCACUGAAGCCAAUUGAUACAGUUCAUUAGUCUGUGAUGACAAGCUUAUCAUCAGCUUCAGGAACCAUGGAACACACUUCCGUGAUAAUAUUGACAAAAUAGCCAAAAAUGAGAGCAACAUGACCAACGACUUUGUCAUGGAUAUUAACCCUUGCAGAACAUUGGAAGUGCCUCCCAGGAUUGGAAGCAAAGCAAACAGAAGACCUACAGCACAAUCCUGCAAAAUAAGGGUGCCAAUUGUAACCUGGCCGUGAAGUGCAUUUGUACUAUUCUUUUCCAUCAAAAACUUCAACACCACAGCUGUAGAAGACAUUGAGAGAAAUGCUCCAACAAAUACACCCUCUGAAGGUUUACCGCCACACAACGAGGCUGUAAUUCCACAUAGACAUAUAAAAAGAAGAACUUGAAGUAAGCCUCCAAGAACUGCAACAGCUCGAACAAUACGGAGCUUUGUGGUUGAGAACUCCAGCCCCAAAGCAAAAAGAAGAAAAAUU